AUGCUUCUAAAUCAAAAAUUAAAGGGGACAUGGAAUCUUCAUGCCUUCGAUAAGAGUGAAGUGAUGGUGCUGGGAUACCCACCGGUAGAGGCCCAGGGCAUUGCGGACCGGCUUAAUUGCCGCCUGGGUUCUUUCCCCACAACCUAUCUGGGGAUCCCCAUUAGUGACUCACGCCUCACCGUAGCGGACCUCCGCCCUUCCGUGACCCGGAUGCAACACCGGGUCGAGCCCUGGAAGGGCCGGUGGCUAUCGAAGGCGGCUCGGGUAAUCCUCAUCAACUCCUCGCUGGCUAGCCUCCUCUGGUUCCUCAUGAGCUUCUAUAGACUCCAUGAGACGCUUCACCAGGAGGUGGCCAAAUAUCAGUCCAGAUUUUUCUGGGCUGGCGAGGGGGACAAGCAAAAAUACCAUAUGGUGAGCUGGCCGGACAUUUGCAAACCCAAGGACCAGGGAGGUCUGGGGACCUUGUCCUCCCGUCGCAUGAACAUUGCUCUCCUGACCCGAUGGCUAUGGCGUAUUGCCAACGGGGAGGGCGGCCUCUGGCUUACCAUCAUUCAGAAUAAGUACCUCUGA
rnacentral:rRNA from 1 species